rnacentral:lncRNA from 1 species
AUGGGGCUUAAUACCUUCCUUAAGACUCCUCACCCACAUGGUGUAUUUACAGCCUGGUUCUGCUUCUUCCCUGCUGUGUGACGACCAGCAAGUCACUUAACAUCUCUGAGGCUCAAUUUGCCAAAGCAUAAAUUAGGACUUCUCAUCUUCAUCCAAAUCUCACCACCUGAGUGAGGCUGUCUCCCUGGAUAGCUGCUCUGCCACAGCCCAGGGGCCCCCCAAUCCUGAAUGUUACUCUGUCAGCCCAUACCUUGCAUUUAUUCAGUCUGAGUGUUCUUUUUUCCUGGCUUUCCCCACAGGGCUGGUCGUCCUUACAGGAUUUUCCCUUGUUCUCAGCAUCUAGACCCGUAACGCCCACUUCAGAAUGGGAGGGAGGAUGUCUGCUGCCCUGUCGUCUCCACACCCGAGGAAUGUCCGUGUGUGUGUGUGUGUGGUGUGCACAGCGGGCUGCACACAGCGGGCUCCACGGUGCUCGAAUGGAGGCCCUAAUGUGAAUGGAGACUAGCCUGCUGGUAGAGACCUUGGCAGUGACCGCUGUGGGCAAUGAGCCAUGGGCCAACAAUAUUCAAUGCUGUGUACCUGAUGGAUGGUUACUGUCUGAGACUGAGGCUUUUUGGGCCAGGAGUAAAAGGACUUGGUUUGUACUUGAUUGCGUCCUGUGGAUGCUUGCCUACCAACUGACUCAUCCUGACGUGCCAAAGGUCCUGGCUUUCCCCUGUGUGGGACCCCUGAUUUAAUUAUUUACUGUGGAACCAUUGUCCUGAGUCAGGAGGAUAGAUGAGGAAAGAAUGAGAGCGUGGCUGGCAUCGCUUCAUGAUUACAUUCUGGGAAAGAUCUUGCCUGUUAACCUCUAGAGAAGGAGGGACGAUACAGACAAUGAAGACUAUAGCAGACUGAAUUACUCUCUGAGAUGAGGACUUUGCUAUUGCCAUUGCAGAACCACUGGUGGAAGUUGUUGUUAAACAGUGGGUCUUGCAUGCAAGCUCUACAGUUAUGCACAGUAUUUCCAUGACAUCCCAAGCCAUGAGGUUCAUGCUGCCAUAUCCCCCUGUUUAACAAGUGUGGAAACUGAUGUAAGUGGAGUCAAAGUCUUGGUUUGGGUGGCCAUCGUAAAUGUUCCUGCUAAGAUAGGCAUAGGCUCCAGUAAGAUCAACUCAACAUGAUCAUAAAUACCAUGUUGAGGAUUUCCAAAAUUUAGAGAAAUGACAGAGAGUCACAGGGGCACAAACUCUGUUGAUGAACUUCAAUACACCAAGAUCUUGUGCAAGGAUCUGUGAUGAAGAGUUAUGUAAAUAUUCUAAUUGAUCCAUAUAGUUGUUAAUAAAAGGGGAAAGUGUGAGAGAAGUUGAAGGACAGUGUUGAGUCAAUGAUGGCCAGUGAUGAUGUAUGAAUCGGGAUCAUAGCUACAGGUCUGGUCGUCAGAGGUCCACACCCAAACACGUGUAGUGUGGAGCUGUGAUAUAGAUAUUGGAUGUAAAUUAGUGUGUUAAAAUCCUUAGGUUCAUCUGUUUUCAUUCUACCCGGACUUAGAUUAAACUAAAUGAAAGAGGUCAAAGCAUUCUCUAAUUAUUUAAAUAACACCAAGUAGUACUACUAACAGUAUGAAUAUCAAAGUUUAGAAAUUCAUUAGUAAUAAAUGGCCAGAGUUAGAAACCCUUAGCUGAGAAUUUUGUGUGCUGUUUUAAAUGGCGGACAAAAUUCUCGUUUGGUUAAGAACCUGGUCUCCUGUUUAUUUUCUAGAGAAGAAUGUAUCACAGCUUCAUGUAACUCGAGGGGUAAAAUAAAAAAAUGAACUACUACAAGGAUCAUAAUUGCAUAGAACAUAAUUAUGUUUAUAAUCGUUUCUCCUUUUCAUCUCUGUAUCUUUUCAAGCUGCAUUACCUAUCCAUUUCGAUCAUGGAGUCUAUGGCUAGCCUAUGGUCUUGGGUGCACAGUAGGCUCUCUAAGUAUAGUUCAUGUUCUCGGGUUCUUACAGAUUCUGCCAUACUUAAGAAUUACACCCAUAAUUAAUGACAGAUACAGUUUGUUCAGGGCAUGCUUCAUUAAUAACUUUAAGAUGAAAAUUGAUCUGAUGACACACUGAAUCACCAAUGUCCCCUUAGACAGCUCUAAAACAUACUUAGUAAUAUAAUCCAUUAGCUUUUAUAUGUAUGAUAUAAUCUGUUAUUAAUAUCGUACAAUAUCUGUGCAUGGACAGCAGUAAUGGCACUAUCAUAAAUAUAGAAAAA